UACGAAGGGGGCUAGCGUUGUUCGGAUUUACUGGGCGUAAAGCGCACGUAGGCGGGUCGUUAAGUCAGGGGUGAAAUCCCGGAGCUCAACUCCGGAACUGCCUUUGAUACUGGCGACCUUGAGGCCGGAAGAGGUUAGUGGAAUUCCCAGUGUAGAGGUGAAAUUCGUAGAUAUUGGGAAGAACACCAGUGGCGAAGGCGGCUGAAC
rnacentral:rRNA from 1 species